rnacentral:lncRNA from 10 species
GGGAGGAGCGGGGCGGUGAGAGCCUGGCUAGGCAGGCUGGAAACAGUAGCUCUUAACGGUCCCCCGCCCGUUGGUGGCAAGGCGGCUGGACUGGAAUCCCAGCAGGCGACAUGCGAGGAGGCGGGCAGCCCAGGAGGGUUGGACACGGCAAUGUGGACCUCGCCGCUUCCACAACGAUGCUGGCUACUGAUCGCGUGCACUUCCUUGCCAAAGAAAAGAAAUUAAUGUUAUGACUGGAUGAAGACAAUUGUGAAGAAACUGCACUUUGAGGUUGUCUAUCUCUGUAUUCUGAUGGAAAAGCGUGGAGUUUAGAAGCACUGCUCACUCCUUCAGUUUCUAACAAGUUUGAGACUAUGGUUAGGUGGUGAGGAAGGCAGGCUCAGCACCCAAGCCUUGGGGAGACGCAGAAAGGGCCCAUCCCAGGCACUCAGGUGGAGCAGGUGGUCUGUCCUAGAGAACGUUCCAUGUGGAUUUGAGAAGAAUAUAUAUUCUCAUGUUGGAUGCAGUGCUGUGCAUAUGUUUGUUAGGUUUAGUUGUUUUAUGUUGUUGUUCAUGUUUUCUAUUUUUUAUCUUCUGUCUACUUGUUCUAUCCAUUAAUAUAAGUGAAGCAUUAAAGUCUCCAACUAUUACUGUUGAA